AUGGACGACAUUAUUUCCAUAGUCGUCAUCAAAAUCUUGUUUACGUUCACGCUUCCCACGGCAAAAGGUGUAUGAGAUUCAUCAUUCGCAAUUCUUGGGCAAUGGGGGAAGAAAUCGAGAGCCACCGGUCGAAUAAUAGGGCGGCGAAGUACUUGGAACGACGGAGGUAAAGGAGGAUAUAUCGGACUUGGGUUGUGGAGAGGGAAUCGGGGUCGUUGGAGUCGAAGGGAGAGACCUCGACGAAGAAAAAAAUAAAAAUAAAAAACCCCAAGUCUCAAUGUCUUGAGAAAAUGGGGAUUUUUUACUGUAAAAGAAAAAUUACCCUCUGUUUGGUUCCUCAGAAAAUGGGGAUUUUAACUGUAAAAAGAAAUGAAAUGGUUGCUGAGGUCCAAACUGGAAGUAAUUGCUUACCAUCUCAAUAUAUUCUGCUAUUUCUUUCUUUUCCCAAAUGUAUUCCUCAUGUCAUAGUUAGUUGGAAUUUUUUUUUUCUUUUUUUGGGUUAUGAAUUUCAUUUAUGCGUUUAUUUGUGCUUUGAUGAAAUAUUCUGUUUGUCCGUGUAUGUUUAAUGGAGAUUGGUUUUUCAUGGUUAUAGUGCUAGGUGACAUUGUGACAAGCUUGAUAUUGCGGAGUGGUUUAGUAUGCAGUGUGUAUAAAUUUGGGGAGAUUGGAAUCGAUAAUCAACCAUGUGUUUUGAUUGUUGUUGUUGUUGUUUGUUUUUUUUUUUUUUUUAUUCUUGAUCUCCUACUGACUCGUAAAUACAGAAAUUUACUCACGGCUAAAAAAAACUUUCAUUCUAAAAUGAAUGCCAGCCAUUUGAUAUUUGAUCAAAUGGUUGGUGUGAGUUAGUUAUACUUACUGGUGAUCAGGAGAUUAAGACUUCUACUACCCAAAAAUGAAAACAAGAAAAAGAAAGACUUCAUCAUGCUGAUUCUGUUGCAUUAUUAUCAUUACAAUAUGUAAAUACUCAGUCUUACUUGCAUUGUUAUCCUUUACACUUUAUAGGUCUGCGUUGAUGAAAAACUCAAAUGGGGUAUAUUUUCCAGAGGAGGUAACCUCAUUUUUGUUUCUGUUUGUAUUCAAUUAUGUAAGUACUGUGAAUAAACAAUAAUCAGCUUAAGAAGUAGUGAGAAGCUUUAAUCAUGUCGGACUAUAUGUUCUUUUCAUGUGUUAUGUUGAUAAUAUUACUUCUAUGAAUUAGGAUUUCUUGUUUUUUUUUUUUUUUGAUGGAUCAUUAGGAAAAGUUAUUUAACUUAUUUUUUGGUCUGUGACAUUGGUAUUACAUGUCAAAGCCAUUUAUAUGUGGGUUGUCAUACAGAACAGCAAGUAACAAAAUGUCCAGAUGUUGUAAUUACUGAAUCAUUCUGUUUGGUGGUUGGUCAGACCAUUUAAGCUUAAUAUAGAAGAAUCAUUCUAGGUGCUUGUUAUAUAUAUGGUUGCUUUAGGUAAUAGUACUCAAAGACAUCCAUCCCUAUCUGUUUUUCUAUAAAAUUAAUUUCUUUAUACACUGUGUGCAGGCGGUUGGAAUUCCCAAUUGCAUAUGUCCUGAAUUGCUUGCAGGUAUUCUGUGUGGAUUUAAAUCUGAUUUUUGGUCUCUAGGUAUGUCCUUUUGAGGAUGUGUGUGAUAUAUGUGUUACUUUUUCUUUCGGACAAGAUGUAUGUGUUACUUUUUCUAGAGCUAAAGUGGUUCCUUGCUGAUCAGGAUGCUGUAUGUAUGAGAUGGCUGCUCAUCGUCCUGCUUUUAAAGAUCUCUUACAGUUCUUUUAUUUAGCAACUAGUUCGUUUUUAAGAAACUUACUAAGAAUGGUUUACUGGGUUCAGAAAUAUUGUUAGCUACAUGGUAUGCCCAAACAGGUCAACAACUUAUUAUAAUUGUUUUUUGUUAAGUUAUUGUAGUCAACAGGAAAAUUAAUUUUCUGAAACAAUCACUAAAACAAUCCUUUGACUAUUAAAUGAAUGAAUUCUGGAGAUUUUUGCAACUUUCUGGCACAUACGAUCUUUUUGCCAUCUGGAUUGAGGGUAUUUCUAGGAACAAUUAUGAUUAGCCUUCUACAUUUGCAGUUCAUGUUAUAUAUACACCAGUAAUGAUACAACAAUACUAAAUCGAUCACUAUUUGGAUUUUGUUUUAUACUUUGGGUAACUAUUUGUGUUUUGUCCAGAAUAAAUAAAAACACAUGGAAAGCUGCUAAAUUUUGAUUCCAAUAAUAUAAGAAUAUGUCCCUGGUUCUAGAAAUUUGUCUUUGGCAAUGUAGGCCACCAAGUUGUUCAUAGACAUAGAGCGUGCAUGCAUGUUCUGCUAAAGUUUGAAAAGUUGCGAAUGGAGUUUAUAAUGAAUAUGUGGUAAAUAUUUGAAAUUACACGGCUUUUACUGAUUCUAGUGUCAUAUGGAAAUAUAUUUGGUCGCAGGGAAGUAUAUGAUUGGGACGAUGGGAAGAUACACCUUUAUGUAAUGAUAGUUAUUCAAACACUACCAGGUGCCAAUGCCAUCAUUCCCCUCUGCCAAGUCCUCUGCCGAUCAAUACCUUUACCACCGUCAAGGAGUUGUGGAGGUUAGUUUCGUUCUCCUUUUCUUCGAUUUUUUUCUUUCUGUAUUUCUCUGUUUAUUUGGUUGCUGAGAAAAUUGAGAAAAGAAAGGGAAAGAUCUAGUUAUCUUUUUCCCCUUUUUAUUUGAAAUUACUGUUUAAUUUGAUUAUUAUUUGAUUUGCUUUUCCAUCCCUCUUGCAUUGAGAAAGAUUGAGAAAAAGGAAAGAAAAAUAACAUCAAAUAUAUGGAAGUUGAGCUCGGAGCAUUGUUCAAGAAAACAAUAACUUUUACCACUAAAUUAUUAAUUAAUUAUAUAGUUGAUCAAUUUGAAAGUGCUAUAAUACUGUGAUGCAAUAAUAAUGCCUAACAUUUUAACCUCGUCAUUUCUAAAUCACUGUAUUAUAUUAAUGAUAAAUUAUGACUAUCUCUAAUUUGUUUGUACUAUGGAUAUUUUCUAGUUACCCAGUGCUGCAUUCAGAAUUCAAUUAUUGGAUACUGAGACUGCUUAAAAAAAAAAAAAAAAAGAGAAAAAUGGAUGUUGAGAUGGCAAAAAUUGGAGGGUUGGAAAAAGAAAAGGAAAGACGAAUAAGGUACAACAAAUAUAAAAACUCAAGAAACCAUAUACAUAAAAAUAAAUGAAUAAUAAAAACUAAGUAGAGAGUCGGUUAAUGCAUAAUAUGUUAAACUAAAUUAAUAUUUAGUAAUAUUCAGCCAAUAGUUUAGCAUUAAUUAAACAAAGUUAAUAUUUGUUGGAUCAGUUAAGAAGAAUAGAAAUUGGAGUUUCCAUUUCAUAAUAAUAUACUAAUGCUGCAGAUAUACAAUAAUGUAUAUUUUAUUACCAAAAAUAAUAAUAAUAAUAAUAAUAAUAAUAAUAAUAAUAAUAAUAAUAAUAAUGUAUAUCUGAGCGGGACACUUAGUUAUGUCCUUAUUCUAUAGUAAAAAAUAUUAACAAGAAUGAGGAAUGCCACUUGGAUAAUAAUAGGUUAGAAGAGUGUUUAUUUAAAUAUAUGUUUAUAAAUCGAGGCAAACCUAGUCUCUGAAAAGGCUGAAAAGAAGAAAUCGACUGAAAAAAAAAUAAAAAUUAAAAAAUUAAAAAAAUUAAAAAAAUUAGUCAUAAGUAUUUUUAAUCUAUCCAAUAGAAUUUAUUUAUAAAUUUUAUUAAAUUGUUUAAAAUACAAUUAUAUUUGAUGGAGAGUGUUUAAUCACAAAAUAUUCAAACAUUAACAAUAGUGUUAUUAAAUUAAAAAUGUAAAUAAAAAUAUGAUUAAGGUUGGAAUCUUGAAAGGAUAUUUAAAUCUCUUUUGUCAAAUAAAAUUAUAAUUAAAAUAAUUAAAUAAUGCAGCUUUUUAAUAAACUGGGGUUUCCUAAAAUGGAGUUUCCUAAAACGAAAUAUCUAUUACUUAGCCCAGAAGCAUAAUGUGUGUAUAUAUAUAUAUAUAUAUGUAUUAUGUUUAGCAAUUUUCCUUUACCAAAUUUUCCGACUUUUUAUUUGCUUUUCAACUGGGGCACAAGAGAGAGUCGUGAAGCAAAGGAGUGUUUAUGUUGUGUUGGUAUUGGAAUCCAAGUGAUGAUGUUGAGCCAGAGUCAAUACGACCUUGUCCAUGGAUCAGAGUUUUUUUGUUUUUUUUUUUUUUGAAAUUAUUGAUUAGGGCUUUACUGCAUAUUCCGAUCCAACUUGUACCUUACACGGUGCCAUUCGACCAUCAACCACCGCUGAUGGAGAACAUGUUAAAAAAGCUGUGGAUUUCGCACUUGAACAGUAUAGUCAAAGGGAGGGUGCGGACAUUGUAUCGCUUAAGAGAAUUGUGAAGGUUAAUUUGGAAUUCCAUGGAAGAACUAUUGUAGUGUACUAUAUCACACUGGAUUUGGAAACCAAUUUCGGUGGAGGAGAUGAUGAACAAGAAUCAGAACCUGCAGCUUUUUAUUAUGAAGCUAAAGUGUAUAGAUACAUUCCUGAUGAUCUGUUUGCUCUGGAUAUUUUCAGACCUGCAUUCUACUACCAUGCACCCUAUUAAUUACUCUUUUUGUAUUAACCACUUUUAGCUAUUCUUUAUUAUGAAUAAUAAGAAGUUUUUUUCCCUCUA